rnacentral:lncRNA from 1 species
GCUAUCCCUCACUGAGUCGUUUAGGUGCUCUGAUACGUAACGGGAUGGGAACUUUGUUGCAUGCUUUUCUAUUCCUUACGUAUUGUUUAUAAAUUUACAUGAUUAAGUUGUUAAUUGGAUUUUUAUGAGAUGUUUUGAUGAGGCCUUCGUGCCAAGACUUUUUAUGUUAAUGAAUUUAAUCCGCUGCAAAGUUUGAAUUAAUAUGUUGAAGGAUAAAAUUAGUUAAUUAACUUAAUUAUGAUUUUAUGAAGUGUAGCAUUCCGUUUACAUGUUGAAUACUCUGAUUAAUUAAAUGAAAUUUUUAAGUCGGGAAAACGGGGUGUUACAUUUAGUUGCUUGGUGAGUUCUUGUGCUUGGUAGAUAUCGGGAGCUUUCUUCGAUAUCGGUGUUUAGAAUUAGUCGGCUCUGAUCUAGGCUUCGUUGUGUCGGUCUAGAUUAGGUUAUCUUUGGAUUUUCUUAUGUUUGGAGAUUACCCGUUUGUUGGGAUUUUUGAGAUGCAUCUAUGUUGAUGUAAUUUAUUUAUUCAUAACAUGUAUAUUUGAAUUUACUCUUGUUUAUAUUCCGCUGCGACUGUUGAUGUUUAUAUACAUGUUUAUUGGUUUUUGAAUUUUGAAUGUUGUGUAGCCUCUAUUUCUUGAAUAAAUGUAUUAUUCGCAUGUUUAAUUGCUUUAAUAGA